GUAGGUGGGCAAGCGUUGUCCGGAAUUAUUGGGCGUAAAGCGCGCGCGGGCGGGGUCCUUUAAGUCUGAUGUGAAAGCCCACGGGCUCAACCGUGGAGGGUCAUUGGAAACUGGGGGACUUGAGUACAGAAGAGGAAAGCGGAAUUCCAAGUGUAGCGGUGAAAUGCGUAGAGAUUUGGAGGAACACCAGUGGCGAAGGCGGCUUUCUGGUCUGUAACUGACGCUGAGGCGCGAAAGCGUGGGGAGCAAACAGGAUUAGAUACCCUGGUAGUCCACGCCGUAAACGAUGAGUGCUAAGUGUUAGGGGGUUUCCGCCCCUUAGUGCUGCAGCUAACGCAUUAAGCACUCCGCCUGGGGAGUACGGCCGCAAAGGCUG
rnacentral:rRNA from 1 species